rnacentral:lncRNA from 1 species
CUUUUCCACAGAUUUGUUAGUAAUUCAGGUUGUUUAAAUAAAAUUCCAUUUAAAAAUCAGUGUUGUGAUUCUUCCCCUUCAUUUAUUUCCCAGAUGGUAAAAUUCAGGCCAAGAGAAGAAAGACUGACAUAAAAAAGAAACAACAAAAACAACUCUUGUUAAUGAUGCGGAAUUAAUCUGAAUUCUCUAAAAACCUGCCUCUUUUGGAGAACAAAAGUGAAGUCAAUUUAGAAGAUGCCAGAGCAAAAGAGGAGAUCCACUUUUGUCUCUCAUCCUUAGGUUCCUAAACAAAUAUCUUAGAAGUAAAGAGGACAAAAACAUUUCCUUGGCUCAAGCUAAAUCUAACAUGAAGUGACAUAGAAAUUUGACUACUGUCAUUUAAAAAGAUCCAUCUCAACAGCCAAACAAUGUCAGAACAAAGAAAAUCAAAUUUUCUAGACUGAUCAAAUAAAAUGGAUAGUUGUCAUAUGCCCACUUCUUUUUCCACUCUAUGUAAACAAAGCUAAUUCUAAAUGACAGUGCAAUGUGUAAUCAUCUCUGCAGUCUGCAUACAACUUAAA